rnacentral:rRNA from 1 species
AGAACGAACGCUGGCGGCGUGCUUAACACAUGCAAGUCCAACGUGAAAGGGGAGCAAUCCCCCGGUAAGGUGGCGAACGGGUGAGUAAGACAUGGGAAUCUGCCCUGGAGAUGGGGAUAUCCCUCCGAAAGGGGGGCUAAUACCGAAUACCGUCCGGGAAACGAGAGGAUUUCGGGGAAAGGGAGGCCUCUGGCAACAUGCUUCCGCUCCGGGAGGAGCCCAUGGCCCAUCAGCUAGUUGGGAGGGUAACGGCCUACCAAGGCGAAGACGGGUAGCUGGUCUGAGAGGACGAUCAGCCACACUGGCACUGAGACACGGGCCAGACUCCUACGGGAGGCAGC